UACGAGGGGGGCGAGCGUUGUUCGGAAUUAUUGGGCGUAAAGGGCGCGUAGGCGGUCGGAUAAGUCUUGUGUGAAAUCUUCGGGCUCAACUCGAAGUCUGCACAGGAAACUAUCUGGCUUGAGUGUGGGAGAGGUGAGUGGAAUUCCUGGUGUAGCGGUGAAAUGCGUAGAUAUCAGGAGGAACACCUGUGGCGAAAGCGGCUCACUGGACCACAGCUGACGCUGAGGCGCGAAAGCUAGGGGAGCAAACAGG
rnacentral:rRNA from 1 species